UUGAUGAAUUUAAAGACUUCAACUUACAGACUUGAUGAUUUAAAAAACUUCAACUAGCAUUCUUGGAGAUUUUGAAGACUUCAUCU
rnacentral:pre_miRNA from 1 species